GCGCCGAUAGUGAAAUGGUUAGCAAGCACCCCUGGAAAGGGUAAAACGGGUUCGAAUCCCAUUCGACGUU